rnacentral:rRNA from 1 species
CCUACGGGAGGCAGCAGUGGGGAAUAUUGCACAAUGGGGGAAACCCUGAUGCAGCGACGCCGCGUGAGUGAAGAAGUGCUUCGGCAUGUAAAGCUCUAUCAGCAGGGAAGAAGAUGACGGUACCUGACUAAGAAGCCCCGGCUAACUACGUGCCAGCAGCCGCGGUAAU